rnacentral:lncRNA from 1 species
AGUACAGUGGUCUGAUGUGCCUUUAUUGUAGAGGUUCUCUUUACUUUUUCUGCUGAGCUUCAGUUUUCCUCCAGAAGCCUGAGAAGCCCUCUUUCUGUUACUAACUUCUGCUCUAUCUUGUGGAGCUCAGGACAAGGGUCAUUAUAAUCUCCUGUGCCUUUGUAGUGUGGGACCAGGUAGCAAAAAAGCCAGAAGGUAGGCGGUGCACGGGGGUGGGGGUGGGGUGGAGGGGGGAACUGAGCGUUGGAGGCGCCCACGCUGCUAACUGGAAGUCAUCGUGCCAUGGGCGGGGCCCGGGACGGCCACAGGAGCUUCAAACUGCUUGUCUUGUUUCACCUGGCCGGUCGCCGCAGCUUAGAGAGCGUCCAAAAAACCACAUCUUCUUUAUCCAGUCUCCAGGUGAUGGGCACUUGCGCUGUUUCCAAGCUUUCGCUAUCACAAACUGUGCAGCUAUCAACAUGGGUGCUGUGUUGCCAGAGGGAAUUACUACAUUGCCUCGGCCCCAUUGGAAUCCAUUUGGUGAAUGUUACUCAAGGAACUCGGAUGGAGCAGUUGGACACCCUCUUCUCAUCUCUGCCUCCCAGACAGAGGGAAAAUGAGUUAUGAGUAGAAGAGGAAAUGGCCUCCACGACAGCUG